rnacentral:rRNA from 1 species
UACGUAGGGGGCAAGCGUUGUCCGGAUUUAUUGGGCGUAAAGAGCGUGUAGGCGGCCAUACAGGUCAGCUGUGAAGACUCGAGGCUCAACCUCGAGACGUCGGUUGAAACCGUAUGGCUAGAGUCCGGAAGAGGAGAGUGGAAUUCCCGGUGUAGCGGUGAAAUGCGCAGAUAUCGGGAAGAACACCCGUGGCGAAGGCGGCUCUCUGGGACGGUACUGACGCUGAGACGCGAAAGCGUGGGGAGCGAACAGG